CGCAUGCGUCAGGGUCGCGCAUGCGCACGCGCACGCGCCUGGGCGCCGGCCCAGAGUGGGACUGAGGCUCAGGCGCCGGUGUUUUGAUUAGUUGUAGCAGUCUGUGUGGAUGCUGUUGGAAUUUCUCAGUAGACAGUUACUUACUCUCUAGCUAUUGCCAUUUGCUUUUGCUUUUGAACAUUUAUUUCAUUUUAUGGGCUCACCUGAUACUGGGCAUCCUCAGUCGUUUUUUGAUUAAGGAUUAUGCUGUGCUCCUAGAAGGAGAUAGGACUCUGUUUCUGGAACAUUUGGUACAACUCACCCAUAAAUCUACUUUGGUUUGGUGCCUUUUUCACUGGAUGGUGAAGGGUUAUGGAAAAUAAUUUUCCUACAAAAUAGCCCCCAAGGAAAAGCGGAGAGACUGUGCAGCUCCAGAGGAGGGAGGGGAAACUAGGCAAGCAUUAGCUUUCCACUUCCCAGCCACCAUGAGUUGAGCAGCUUUAUUCCCCACACCUUCCCUGCCAUGAUGUUCUACCUCACCACAGGCCUAGAAUCCAAGGAGCCAGCCAUUCAUGAACUGACAUCUCAGAAGCCAUGAGCCAAAAAUAGAUCUUUCUUUAAAUUCUUUUUUCAAGGUAUUUUGCAAUAGUAACGAAAUGCUGACUAACAAGCAUAGAGAGAAGGGAGGGCAUCUAUAUGCCAGGAAGAGGACCCGCAUCAGACAUGUAAUUGAUCAGAACCUUGAUCUUGGACUUCUAGGCUCCAGAUUGUGAGAAGAUAAAAUUUUGUUGUUUAAGCCACCCAUUCAUUAUAUGAUGUUUUGUUAUGGCAACGUGAUAGAGUAUAUUUCUCAUAGUCAACUUACAAAAUUGUUAAACUUUGAUAGAACUUGUUUUGGUUAUCCAUUGCUGUAUAACAUACUGUCCCCAAACGUGGUGGGUUAAAACAAUUACAACUAUUUUGUUCAUGUCUCAGAGGGUGAGUGAUGUCUGUUCCACUUGGCAGCAGCUGGGGAAGCUUGAAGACUGGUGUUUGGAACUAUCCAGGAGGUCAUUUACUCACAUGUCCAGCAGUGGAGGGUGGUUGUCAGCUGGGAUCUCUGCUGGGGCUAUGGCUGGAAAAUCAUUCGUGACUUUCCAAAUGGUUGUUGGCUGCUUCUCAGUAUGGGGGCUGGGUUCCAAGGGAGAGUGUCCCAAGAGGAUGGGAGGAAGCUCUGUUGCUUUUUAUGAUGUGGCCUCAGAGGUCACAUGAGAUCUCUCCCCACCAGAGCCAUACACACAUCUGGGUUUAAGGAGAGAAAACAAACCCACCUCUUAAUAGAGGCAUACUAAUCUCCAGAACUUAUUCAUAGUCUCUAACUGAAACUUUGUACCCUCUGACCUGGUUUCAUUUUUAAGAACAUGAGUUAGAUCAGAAUUCAUCUCUUUCUAGCUCUGUGACCUUAAUUUCCUUAAACUAUCAUUUUCUCAUUGGUAAAAUGAAUUUUACGACAGCAGCCAUCUCAGAGUAGUUCUAGGGAUUAAAUAAAAUAUUCAUAGUUAAAAUUUUGGCAUAUAGUAAGCACUAAUGAGUGUUACCCACUUUUGGUGUUAUUAUUGUUUUAAUAAUUAUUAUUGGCAUGCUAGGUUGAUAAAAGAAAACUAUAUACCUUAUAAUAAGCCCUAACUAGACAUUAUCAUUGACUCUAGUAGCUGUAAGUGUCAGCAAUUUAAUGAAGAACCAAUUGUCGUGAAACUUAAAUUAUUCACAUCUGGAUCUAGUUUCUUUUUAUAACAAAGUUGAGGUUUUUUCCAAGUCUGUUUGCUAUAAUCACAAGAUUUGAUUUAAGAGUUAUAAGGGCCAUUGACUCUGACUGUGCCAAAUAAUGUAUCCUAUGUGCCUGCCACUGUUUCUUGGUUCAAGAAAAUUAUAUUUAUUAGGAUGUGUAUAUUGAUUAAACUUCCUAUCAAGCCUUGUGAUGUAAUACUUUGCUCUAAUUCUGACUUGAACUUGUGACUCCACUAAAAUAUCAGAGGGCUUUGUCUCCCCUGGUAUUUUGUAACUAGCUUAAUUAUUCUCAGUGAUUUAACUGACAAAUAUAAAUGCAAGACUUUUCCAUCACUAGAAAUGUACCUUUUACUCAUACAUUGCUGGUGGGACUGCAAGUUGGUGCAACCACUAUGGAUGGAAAGCAGUAAGGAGAUUCUUC